rnacentral:tRNA from 1 species
AGCUUUAUAGUCAAUAAUAUGAUAUCAGACUGCAAUUCUGAAGUAGUGCUUUCACUAAAGCUU